GUACACGCUGUGACUAGCAUAUCAUAAGCGGAGGAAAAGAGGGCUAUUACCUACGCUUAGGAUGUUGACACACGCGCGUGCUCGACUCUAUACAUGACUCUGUGCAUAUCAAUAAGCGGAGGAAAAGUACUACCUACGCUUAGGAUGUUGACACACGCGCGUGCUCGAUGAUAGUCUAUACAUGACUCUGUGCAUAUCAAUAAGCGGAGGAAAAGAGGGCUAUUACCUACGCUUAGGAUGUUGACACACGCGCGUGCUCGCGUCUAUACAUGACUCUGCGCAUAUCAAUAAGCGGAGGGAAAAGGCUAACUCUACCUACGCUUAGGAUGUUGACACACGCGCGUGCUCGACUCUAUACAUGACUCUGCGCAUAUCAAUAAGCGGAGGAAAAGAAACUAACAAGGAUUCCCCUAGUAACGGCGAGUGAAGCGGGAAGAGCUCAAAUUUGAAAUCUUAUAGGGUUUCCCUUUACGAAUUGUAGUUUAAAGAAGUGUUUUCUGUUGAGGUUUUGGUAAAAGUUCUUUGGAAUAGGACAUCAUAGAGGGUGAGAAUCCCGUAUUUGACCUUUACUUUCAACUUUGUGAUACACUUUCAAAGAGUCGGAUUGUUUGGGAAUGCAGUCCAAAAUGGGUGGUAAAUUUCAUCUAAAGCUAAAUAUUGGCGAGAGACCGAUAGCGAACAAGUACCGUGAGGGAAAGAUGAAAAGAACUUUGAAAAGAGAGUUAAACAGUACGUGAAAUUGUCAAAAGGGAAGCGUUUGACACCAGUGUUGUUUUUCUGAAAAUCAAUUAAAGAACUGUUUAUGCUAAGCUGUUUAGACUUUAUCAGCUAUACUGUUUAGUUUUGAGCUUUUCUUCAAUGCACUUUUCAGUUAACAAGUCAACAUCAAUUUCUUUUGCUGUAAAAAAGCUUGAUGGAAGGUGGCUUGAGAUUCGUCUUAAGUGUUUAUAGCCUCUUGCCUAUGCAGUCGGAGAGAUUGAGGUCUGCAGCGUAGAUCCUUCGGGGCUAAAUGCAUUUGUGCUAAGUUAUAGCAUUUUAUAGACAACUUGUUGACUAUGAUUUGUCUUGUAGCUUACUCGCUUAUGUUAUUUUACCUACGCUUAGGAUGUUGAUCUACAGAGCGAGAGU
rnacentral:rRNA from 1 species